UCACCCCUCAAGCCCCCGGCUUGGUGUUGGACGGUUUGGUGACAGAGCCUUCGGGCAACGGUCACCCCUCCCAAAGACAAUGACGGCGGCCUCGUUGGACCCCCGGUACACUGAGUUCCUCACCGAACACGUACUGGAUCAAGGGCCCGCGGAGCACGGUCUGCCUCCCCUCAGGGAGAACUUUUAUCUCAA
rnacentral:misc_RNA from 1 species